rnacentral:rRNA from 1 species
AUUGAACGCUGGCGGCAUGCCUAACACAUGCAAGUCGAGCGAGCGGCGGACGGGUGCGUAAUGUAUGGGGACUGCCCGAUAGAGGGGGAUAACUCCUGGAAACGGUGGCUAAUACCGCAUACUAUCGGAUAACCAAUAUGGGAUGAGCUAGUAGGUGGGGUAAAGGCUCACCUAGGCGACGAUCUCUAGCUGGUCUGAGAGGAUGAUCAGCCACACUGGGACUGAGAAACGGCCCAGACUCCUACGGAGGAAGCAGUGGGGAAUAUGGGACAAUGGGGGCAACGCGGAUGCAGCCAUGCCGCGUGUAUGAAGAAGGCCUUAGGGUUGUAAAGUACUUUCAGCGGGGAGGCGUUACCCCCAGAAGAAGCACCGGCUAACUCCGUGCCAGCAGCCGCGGUAAUAC